AAGUCGUAACAAGGCUUCCGUAGGUGAACCUGCGGAAGGAUCAUUCAUAAUUGAGUGUUUUAUGGCACUCUUUAAAAAAAUCCAUAUCCACCUUGUGUGCAACGUUUUUGAACUCUCUGGCAUUAAAAAGCCAAGAGGGUUUGAUUAACUUAACACCUUUAAAGCAGUUUGUCUGAAUAUCUAUUUCUGAAUAAACAUAAUUCAAAAAUACAACUUUCAACAACGGAUCUCUUGGCUCUC
rnacentral:misc_RNA from 1 species